UACGUAGGGGGCAAGCGUUGUCCGGAUUUAUUGGGCGUAAAGAGCGUGUAGGCGGCUUGGUAGGCCCGUUGUGAAAACUCGAGGCUCAACCUCGGGUCUGCAGUGGGUACGGGCAGACUGGAGUGCGGUAGGGGAGAAUGGAAUUCCUGGUGUAGCGGUGGAAUGCGCAGAUAUCAGGAGGAACACCGAUGGCGAAGGCAGUUCUCUGGGCCGUAACUGACGCUGAGGAGCGAAAGCGUGGGGAGCGAACAGG
rnacentral:rRNA from 1 species